AACUUUUAGCAAUGGAUCUCUUGGCUCUCGCAUCGAUGAAGAACGCAGCGAAAUGCGAUAAGUAAUGUGAAUUGCAGAUUUUCAGUGAACCAUCGAAUCUUUGAACGCACCUUGCGCCCCUUGGUAUUCCGAGGGGCAUGCUUGUUUGAGUGUCAUUAAAUUCUCACCUCCAUUUGAUUUGUUUCAAACCUGGAGCUUGGACUUGGAGUGUGCUGGCGUUGACCGUCGGCUCCUCUCAAAUGCAUCGGCGGAAUUGAACCUUUGACUUCCGAAUGUCAGUGUGAUAAUUAACGAUGCGCUGUCGACCGGGGUCAGAGUCCGCUUACAAUCGUCCUCGGACAACUUAUCAAAUUUGACCUCAAAUCAGGUAGGACUACCCGCUGAACUUAAGCAUAUCAAUAAGCGGAGGCU
rnacentral:misc_RNA from 1 species